CAGCACCUCAAGUGGUCAGGAUGAUUAUUGGGCCUAAAGCAUCCGUAGCCGGCUCUGUAAGUUUUCGGUUAAAUCUGUACGCUCAACGUACAGGCUGCCGGGAAUACUGCAGAGCUAGGGAGUGGGAGAGGUAGACGGUACUCGGUAGGAAGGGGUAAAAUCCUUUGAUCUAUUGAUGACCACCUGUGGCGAAGGCAGUCUACCAGAACACGUCCGACGGUGAGGGAUGAAAGCUGGGGGAGCAAACCGGAUUAGAUACCCGAGUAGUCC
rnacentral:rRNA from 1 species